rnacentral:rRNA from 1 species
UGGGGAAUAUUGCACAAUGGGCGCAAGCCUGAUGCAGCCAUGCCGCGUGUAUGAAGAAGGCCUUCGGGUUGUAAAGUACUUUCAGCGAGGAGGAAGGCGUUGUGGUUAAUAACCGCAGCGAUUGACGUUACUCGCAGAAGAAGCACCGGCUAACUCCGUGCCAGCAGCCGCGGUAAUACGGAGGGUGCAAGCGUUAAUCGGAAUUACUGGGCGUAAAGCGCACGCAGGCGGUCUGUCAAGUCGGAUGUGAAAUCCCCGGGCUCAACCUGGGAACUGCAUCCGAAACUGGCAGGCUAGAGUCCUGUAGAGGGGGGUAGAAUUCCAGGUGUAGCGGUGAAAUGCGUAGAGAUCUGGAGGAAUACCGGUGGCGAAGGCGGCCCCCUGGACAAAGACUGACGCUCAGGUGCGAAAGCGUGGGGAGCAAACA